GAUGAACGCUGGCGGCGUGCCUAAUACAUGCCAGUCGAGCGAACAGACGAGGAGCUUGCUCCUCUGACGUUAGCGGCGGACGGGUGAGUAACACGUGGAUAACCUACCUUUAAGACUGGGAUAACUUCGGGAAACCGGAGCUAAUACCGGAUAAUAUAUUGAACCGCAUGGUUCAAUAGUGAAAGACGGUUUUGCUGUCACUUAUAGAUGGAUCCGCGCCGCAUUAGCUAGUUGGUAAGGUAACGGCUUACCAAGGCAACGAUGCGUAGCCGACCUGAGAGGGUGAUCGGCCACACUGGAACUGAGACACGGUCCAGACUCCUACGGGAGGCAGCAGUAGGGAAUCUUCCGCAAUGGGCGAAAGCCUGACGGAGCAACGCCGCGUGAGUGAUGAAGGUCUUCGGAUCGUAAAACUCUGUUAUUAGGGAAGAACAAAUGUGUAAGUAACUAUGCACGUCUUGACGGUACCUAAUCAGAAAGCCACGGCUAACUACGUG
rnacentral:rRNA from 1 species